GCGGUGGUCGGGCUCGAGCACGCGCGGCGUCGCCUGCAGCAGGAACUGGCCGCGGCGCUGGGUGACGCGCACGUCGGCGCGGGGGAGUUCAGUGGCAUGACCAGGGCUCACUGCAACCUUGAUCUGGGCUCAAGUGAUCCUCCUACCUCAGCUUCCUGAGUAGCUAGGACCACAGGUGUGCACCAACCACACCCGACUAAUUUUUGUAGAGAUGAGAUCCCACUAUGUUACCCAGGCUGGUCUUGAACUCCUGGGCUCAGGUGAUCAUCCUGCCUUGGCUUCCCAAAGUACUGGGAUUAUAGGCUUGAGCCACCGUGCCUGGCCUGUGAUCAGAAUUCUCAUUUUUUUAGUCACUAAAAAUGCUGGGGGGCACUCCAUUCUCCAUUAUGUGAUUAGUUCACAUUGCAUGCUUGUAUCAAAACAUCAUAUAUACCCCACAAAUAUAUACAAAAAACUUUAAAAUUUUAAGUAUUAAUUGCUCAGGAAAAAAUUAAAAUGCUGGGGUGCUGAAAUCUCAAGGGCCCCAUUACAAAACUCCUUAGGAACCUCGCCCUCUCUCUGCUGUAAGGACUGGUUCCAGAAUGAGAGAAUUUAAAAGACAUUCCCCCCCCAAAAUGUUCAUAAUGUCACCCCGGAAACCUGCGAAUAUGUUAUAUUACAUGACCAGGGAGAAGUAAGGUUGCAGAUGGCAGUAAGGUUGCUAAUGGGCUGACCUUAAGAUAAGGAGAUGAUCCUGGAUUAUCUGGGUGGACCCAAUGUAAUCACAAGGGUCCUUAACUGUGGAAUAGUGAGGUGGCUGAGUCAGAGGCAGAGUGAUGCAAUGACUGAAAGACUUAACCAGCCAUCACCGGCUUUGAAUACGGAAGACGGUCAUGAGCCAGGGAAUGCAGGCAGGCUCUGGGAGCUGAAAAAAGCAAGAAAAUGGAUUCUCCCCUGGAGCCUCCAGAAGGGAUGCGGUCCUGCCAACCCCUUGUCAGUGAGCCAUUUCAGAUUUCUGACUUCCAGGACUGUAAGAAAAUAAACUUGUCUUGUUUUCAGC
rnacentral:lncRNA from 1 species